GACGAACGCUGGCGGCGUGCUUAACACAUGCAAGUCGAACGGAAAGGCCCUGCUUUUGUGGGGUGCUCGAGUGGCGAACGGGUGAGCAACACGUGAGUAACCUGCCCUUGACUUUGGGAUAACUUCAGGAAACUGGGGCUAAUACCGGAUAGGAGCUCCUGCUGCAUGGUGGGGGUUGGAAAGUUUCGGCGGUUGGGGAUGGACUCGCGGCUUAUCAGCUUGUUGGUGGGGUAGUGGCUUACCAAGGCUUUGACGGGUAGCCGGCCUGAGAGGGUGACCGGCCACAUUGGGAAUGGGGUACCGCCCAGAAUCCCAAGGGGGGGAAGCGGGGGGAAAAUUGCACAAAGGGCGGAAGGCCGAAGGAAGAACCGCGCGGGGGGGGAGGAGGGCCUUGGGGUGGAAAACGGGUUUGGCCGGUGAGGAGGGGGGGGGGGGGGAAAGGGGAAAAAAAGCACCGGUAACCACGGG
rnacentral:rRNA from 1 species